GAAAAAUAAAAUGUUCGCUUUUUUUUGUAACACGCUCCUUCUUGUUAUUUUCAUUAUUUAGCAUUUCAGAGAUGCAAGAACAAUAUUUACACGCUAUAAUAUUUCUGAGUCGACGAAAUGUAGUUCUGACGAACAUUGAGAGAUGAUACUGAAUAUUCUAGCCUGUGUAAUUUGUCUUAUUGGAAUAACACGAUGCCGUGGUUUUGUGUAAAACCACGUUACAGAAACUUGUCUUGUUCUGAUUUGUCAUUUUACAAACACAACUGGAUUGGAUAUGUCACAAAUCUGAACAAAUGUGAACUUCACUUAGCCAACAGGUAAACGUUUGACAAGCAUGUACUUUCAAAAUAUUCAAACUCGUUAAUUCUCCGAUAUGUCGUUCAUCUAUAUGCAAUGUAAUAUUUCCAACAAUGAUAUUUAUUUGAUGCUUCGUUUGUCGUACAGUGUAAGAAAAUCAUAGUGUUUGCUUUGGGACAACUGAAUUUCAAAUGUUUAAUGGAUUUACAAAAUAAAUGUAAAGCUGGAAUCAUACUGCCCCUGAUUGGCUUGCGGGUGUGUUCUGGAUUCCCAUCUUCUGAUUGCUCUGGAUGUGUAACGGAAAAAGGAAACUAUUUACCAUUGGGAAGAUAAUAGUUAUUACAAUUUUUCCAACUUCUAGAAGUAAACAGCAAGCAGCGUUUGAUUUACAAACUAUACCAUGUACAAAAUAUAGUAGAAAAAAACUGUGGAUUUUUGAAAAACUCAACAGGGUAUUUUUACAAUGGAACAUGGAUACUACGGCAUUGUAAAGGAGAGCUUAAAAGCGUGGGAGAUUGUCUUCGCAACACUGUUUUGUACUUUUGGGGUGUCUCAACACUACUCCAGUGGUUUGAUUAUUUUCAUUCUCAUACUAUCUUAGGAUGUAAAACUGUAUAUCGUGAAGGUCAUGGCUUUUUUAAAAGGAUCAGAGCUUUUUGCAAACAAUACAAUUUAUUGUUGAUUUAUAUACCUCAUAACAUUCCGGCAGCUGCAGGUAAGGAUUCCAGUAUAAACAGUACUUUUGCCAACACAUUGCCUGAUCAACUGAACUGUUCAAAUACUGUAGGCAAACGUAUUUUAGUUAUUCAUUUGUAUGCACAUAUCCAGCUUCAAAGUAUAAAGUUUUUCAUUGCCAAUAUGCUCUCAGUACGGCGAUAUUUGGAACAAGUGAUAAAAAAAAUUGUGUAUUUAGAUUUUUUAUAAAAUUGCCCCAUACACAUCGACACGAGAGAUGUGAAACUUGGACAAUAAGGCAGCCAGAUUAUAUUGGCUUUUUAUAUACUUUCAUCAUACGUGAAGUGUUACUUGGGCUCCAGCAACAAAAAAAUAAUACCCCUGAAUAACAGGGAUGCAACAACUGCAGUAAAAAAUAUGAAUUUACAUCCAAACAAAAUGUUGGUAUCAGCUAUGGUUGAAACUCUUUUGAACUACAUUUGUAAUAAUCGCAUAGAAAAACACGUUGUUGGUAAGUAAUGUUCAUGACAUUUUCAACACACGCAUUACUAUAUAUUGUAAGUACGUGAAUUAUGUCACUUUGAAAACUUACAAACUAGCUGAAAAGCAAACAAGUGUCAUGGUUUGAAUGAUUAUUUGUUGACAUUUUCAUAACAUAUUGCCUGUGCAUUUAUAAAAUAUGCAUGCAUAGCGUGCCAUUCUGCUGAUAGAUAUUCUAGGUUAUAUAAAGUAACUAUAUUACACUGAUAUUCAUAAAAGAUGUUUUGUAGAUUUUGUGGCUGUGAAAAUCCACGUAAUAUAGUUCAGAGCAAUAUCCAGAAUUAUCAUAUGUAAGUUCCUACGACAUAGCUGUUUCAGUAAAAUAUCGAAAUAAAAAGUCAACGGAAUUACGUGAUUUUACAUUAUUUUGUCUUGUUAGAAAAAAGAAAUAUAAAAAGUUUUGGUAAAAUCAUUUUUAAUACAGAAAACAUGCGGUUUAUCACAAGUAUUGAUUAUCAAAAUUUCGAUUUUGGAUAUGUUUUUCUUUCCUGUGAUAAAGAAGUGUUGUUUCUGCAUGAGCUGGUCGGGUAAGAGAAAACAAAAAUAAUUUUAAAAAAUCCACUUUGCUCGAAACAACAAAUUUUAACAUGUAUCAAUGUUAUAAAAACACUUUUAUAGGAUUAAAAUUUACAAUAUUAACUUUAUUUCAAGUUCAUGAAGGACAUACAUAUACAUAUACAUAGUAAUUGGUUUUGUUUAAACUAGUAAAUGUUAGAUGGAGGCAAAAAUGCCUCGUACCAUGGCAAAAACAUUUCUGAAGCGGAUUUGUUUUGAAGAGCAAUAAACAGACGUCCUUUUGAAAUUACAUAGAAAUACAUGUCUAAAAUAUUCGCAAAUACGUUUAAAUCAAAGUAAAGGUAUCUAUCUUUGAGAUUCAUUGAGCAAACCUGAAAAAAGACGGAUAUUGUGCCAGUAAAAUAGACUCUCCCCGUUGACUUUCGUCAGUUUGCAUUUGCCCACAUGUCUUGUCGCAGAGAGACAAUAUCCUUCAGCAGCGUUUACUGACAAAUGAUUACAACAUCACCUUCACUAGGUUUUGUAUUGAGUUC